CAAUGCCCUGCGAAAUCCUAAA
rnacentral:miRNA from 1 species